CAGCCGCCGCGGUAUACGGAGGGUGCAAGCGUUAAUCGGAAUUACUGGGCGUAAAGCGUGCGUAGGCGGUUUGUUAAGUCUGCUGUGAAAUCCCCGGGCUCAACCUGGGAACUGCAUCCAAAACUGGCAAGCUAGAGUAUGGUAGAGGGUGGUGGAAUUUCCUGUGUAGCGGUGAAAUGCGUAGAUAUAGGAAGGAACACCAGUGGCGAAGGCGACCACCUGGACUGAUACUGACACUGAGGUGCGAAAGCGUGGGGAGCAAACAGGAUUAGAUACCCGGGUAGUCCCUGUCUCUUAUACA
rnacentral:rRNA from 1 species